AUAUGGAGGGUGCAAGCGUUAUUCGGAAUCACUGGGCGUAAAGGACGCGUAGGCGGGUUGGCAAGUCAGAUGUGAAAUCCUACAGCUUAACUGUAGAACUGCAUUUGAAACUGCUAACCUAGAGUAUGGGAGGGGGAGAUGGAAUUAGUGGUGUAGGGGUAAAAUCCGUAGAUAUCACUAGGAAUACCGAAAGCGAAGGCGAUCUCCUGGAACAUAACUGACGCUAAGGCGUGAAAGCGUGGGGAGCAAACAGGAUUAGAUACCCUAGUAGUCC
rnacentral:rRNA from 1 species